rnacentral:rRNA from 1 species
ACGAUGGACCCGCGUCUGAUUAGCUAGUUGGCGGGGUAGAGGCCCACCAAGGCGACGAUCAGUAGCCGGCCUGAGAGGGUGACCGGCCACAUUGGGACUGAGACACGGCCCAAACUCCUACGGGAGGCAGCAGUGGGGAAUAUUGCACAAUGGGGGGAACCCUGAUGCAGCGACGCCGCGUGAGUGAAGAAGUAUUUCGGUAUGUAAAGCUCUAUCAGCAGGGAAGAAAAUGACGGUACCUGACUAAGAAGCCCCGGCUAACUACGUGCCAGCAGCCGCGGUAAUACGUAGGGGGCAAGCGUUAUCCGGAUUUACUGGGUGUAAAGGGAGCGUAGACGGCUAUGCAAGUCUGAAGUGAAAGCCCAAGGCUCAACCAUGGGACUGCUUUGGAAACUGUAAAACUGGAGUGCAGGAGAGGUAAGCGGAAUUCCUAGUGUAGCGGUGAAAUGCGUAGAUAUUAGGAGGAACACCAGUGGCGAAGGCGGCUUACUGGGCUGUAACUGACGUUGAGGCUCGAAGGCGUGGGGAGCAAACAGGAUUAGAUACCCUGGUAGUCCACGCGGUAAACGAUG